rnacentral:rRNA from 1 species
GAGUUUGAUCAUGGCUCAGAACGUACGCUGGCGGCACGCCUAACACAUGCAAGUCGAACGAAGUAGCAAUACUUAGUGGCAGACGGGUGAGUAACAUGUAGGUAUCUGCCCUUUGGCCUGGAAUAACACGAGGAAACUUGUGCUAAUACCGGAUAAGUCUUUACGGAGAAAGCUUUAUGCACCAUUGGAUGAGCCUGCACUUGAUUAGUUUGUUGGUGGGGUAAUGGCCUACCAAGACUGUGAUCAAUAGCUGAUUUGAGAGGAUGAUCAGCCACAUUGGGACUGAGACACGGCCCAAACUCCUACGGGAGGCAGCAGUGGGGAAUCUUGCACAAUGGAGGAAACUCUGAUGCAGCGAUGCCGCGUGAGUGAAGAAGGCCUUUGGGUUGUAAAGCUCUUUCGUCGGGGAAGAAAAUGACUGUACCCGAAUAAGAAGGUCCGGCUAACUUCGUGCCAGCAGCCGCGGUAAUACGAAGGGACCUAGCGUAGUUCGGAAUUACUGGGCUUAAAGAGUUCGUAGGUGGUUGAAAAAGUUGGUGGUGAAAUCCCAGAGCUUAACUCUGGAACUGCCAUCAAAACUUUUCAGCUAGAGUAUGAUAGAGGAAAGCAGAAUUUCUAGUGUAGAGGUGAAAUUCGUAGAUAUUAGAAAGAAUACCAAUUGCGAAGGCAGCUUUCUGGAUCAUUACUGACACUGAGGAACGAAAGCAUGGGUAGCGAAGAGGAUUAGAUACCCUCGUAGUCCAUGCCGUAAACGAUGUGUGUUAGACGUUGGAAAUUUAUUUUCAGUGUCGCAGCGAAAGCGAUAAACACACCGCCUGGGGAGUACGACCGCAAGGUUAAAACUCAAAUGAAUUGACGGGGACCCGCACAAGUAGUGGAGCAUGUGGUUUAAUUCGAAGAUACGCGCAGAACCUUACCAACACUUGACAUGUUCGUCGCGACUUUGAGAGAUCAAAGUUUUCGGUUCGGCCGGACGAAACACAGGUGCUGCAUGGCUGUCGUCAGCUCGUGUCGUGAGAUGUUGGGUUAAGUCCCGCAACGAGCGCAACCCUCACUUUUAGUUGCCAUCAUUAAGUUGGGCACUCUGAAAGAACUGCCAGUGAUAAGCUGGAGGAAGGUGGGGAUGACGUCAAGUCCUCAUGGCCCUUACGUGUUGGGCUACACACGUGCUACAAUGGUAUCUACAACAGGAAGCAAGACUGCGAAGUUAAGCAAAUCCUUAAAAGAUACCUCAGUUCGGAUUGCACUCUGCAACUCGAGUGCAUGAAGCUGGAAUUACUAGUAAUCGUGGAUCAGCGUGCCACGGUGAAUGCGU